rnacentral:rRNA from 1 species
GAUGAACGCUGGCGGCGUGCUUAACACAUGCAAGUCGAACGAUGAAGCCCAGCUUGCUGGGUGGAUUAGUGGCGAACGGGUGAGUAACACGUGAGUAACCUGCCCUUAACUCUGGGAUAAGCCUGGGAAACUGGGUCUAAUACCGGAUAGGAGCGUCCACCGCAUGGUGGGUGUUGGAAAGAUUUAUCGGUUUUGGAUGGACUCGCGGCCUAUCAGCUUGUUGGUGAGGUAAUGGCACACCAAGGCGACGACGGGUAGCCGGCCUGAGAGGGUGACCGGCCACACUGGGACUGAGACACGGCCCAGACUCCUACGGGAGGCAGCAGUGGGGAAUAUUGCACAAUGGGCGCAAGCCUGAUGCAGCGACGCCGCGUGAGGGAUGACGGCCUUCGGGUUGUAAACCUCUUUCAGUAGGGAAGAAGCGAAAGUGACGGUACCUGCAGAAGAAGCACCGGCUAACUACGUG